GACUCCGCCCAAUCUCCCGCGUACCCUAGACGUGAACGAGUGCCUGGAGGGCGAUUUCUGCUUCCCUCACGGCGAGUGCCUCAACACUGACGGCUCCUUUGCCUGUACUUGUGCCCCUGGCUACCGACCCGGACCCCGCGGAGCCUCUUGCCUCGACGUUGACGAGUGCAGCGAGGAGGACCUUUGCCAGAGCGGCAUCUGUACCAACACCGACGGCUCCUUCGAGUGCAUCUGUCCUCCGGGACACCGCGCUGGCCCGGACCUCGCCUCCUGCCUCGACGUGGACGAAUGUCGCGAGCGAGGCCCAGCCCUGUGCGGGUCGCAGCGCUGUGAGAACUCUCCCGGCUCCUACCGCUGUGUCCGGGACUGCGAUCCUGGGUACCACGCGGGCCCCGAGGGCACCUGUGACGAUGUGGACGAAUGCCGGAACCGGUCCUUCUGCGGUGCCCACGCCGUGUGCCAGAACCUGCCCGGCUCCUUCCAGUGCCUCUGUGACCAGGGUUACGAGGGGGCACGGGAUGGGCGUCACUGCGUGGAUGUGAACGAGUGUGAAACACUACAGGGUGUAUGUGGAGCUG
rnacentral:lncRNA from 1 species